AUACCUUUCUCGGCCUUUUGGCUAAGAUCAAGUGUAGUAUCUGUUCUUAUCAGUUUAAUAUCUGAUAUGUGGACUAUUAGUUCACACGAUAUUAAAUUUAUUUUUUUAGGGAGAGGGUCAUCAAAGUAGCUUGCUACUUGGCUUCUCGAGCAUCGCCUCUGUUUUGCACUUCUGCAGAGGCCUGGUGCAUCCCAU